UACAGAGGUCUCAAGCGUUGUUCGGAUUCAUUGGGCGUAAAGGGUGUGUAGGUGGCGCGCUAAGUCGGGUGUGAAAUUUCGGAGCUUAACUCCGAAACUGCAUUCGAUACUGGCGUGCUUGAGGACUGGAGAGGAGACUGGAAUUCAUGGUGUAGCAGUGAAAUGCGUAGAUAUGCGGAGGAACACCGAUGGCGAAGGCAAUCCCCUGGGCCUGCACUGACGCUCAUGCACGAAAGCGUGGGGAGCAAACAGG
rnacentral:rRNA from 1 species